GUUCUGUGAUGAUAUCAAGAGAAUGGUUUCGCAAAUUGCUGAAAUUUUGUGAUGUGUUAAUCUCUUGGCUGUCUGAGCGC